AUUGACUGGAAUUUGGUUUCAGGAAAUGGGAGCACAGAAACAGAAGCGUGGAGAAUUCAGACGUCCUUAAUUCUAAGAACACUGUUUUUGGUUUAAUAGCCGUUCCCUCCCAUGCCUGUGACACGUGACUCGUGACUCAACAGGAGGCCUGUUUGAACCGCAUUCCAUCUCCUGGCUCAGGCUCUAUAAAUACCGGAGACAACCGACGGGGAACGGCAAAGAGGCUUUGAGUGACAUUACAAAGUUCUUUUCUAAGCAGAAGGAGAUCCAAGCAAAAGAAGGAGAACCAUGAGUGACAAACCAGCCAAAGAUGCCGGAAAGGGAAAAGGUCAAGGACAUGGCCAUGGUGACCACAAGCAUGAUGACCACAAGCAUGAUGACCACAAGCAUGGGGAGCACAAGCAUGGAGAGCACAAGCAUGGAGAGCACAAGCCCGGGGAAGGCAAGUGUCAUGGUAAAGGCGGAGAGCAUGCUGGCAAAGAGUGUGGCAAAGGCAAAUAGUGAGGUGAUCUGAGCGUCCAACUGGAAGAAAACCAACAAAAGACCCCCGAAGUGUACAUCAAUAUUAUCUAAAAUACACUAGCUGUACUUUUGUAUA